UACAGGGGGGUGCAAACGUUGCUCGGAAUCAUUGGGCGUAAAGCGCACGUAGGCGGUUCGUUAUGUCGGAUGUGAAAGCCCUUGGCUUAACCGAGGAAGUGCAUCCGAAACUGGCGAGCUAGAGUACUAAAGAGGAUCGCGGAAUUCCCCGGUGUAGAGGUGAAAUUCGUAGAUAUCGGGAGGAACACCGGUGGCGAAGGCGGCGAUCUGGGUAGAUACUGACGCUGAGGUGCGAAAGCGUGGGGAGCAAACAGG
rnacentral:rRNA from 1 species